GAUGAACGCUGGCGGCAUGCCUAACACAUGCAAGUCGAUCGGUAAGGCUCUUCGGAGUACACGAGAGGCGGACGGCUGAGUAACGCGUAGGAACACACCCUGCAGUGAGGGAUAAGACACCGAAAGGUGUUCUAAUACCGCAUACGGUCUUCGGAUUAAAGCAUUUAUGCGCUGAAGGAGUGGCCUGCGUCAUAUUAGAUAGUUGGUGAGGUAAUGGCUCACCAAGUCGAUGAUGUGUAGCUGGUCUGAGAGGGUGAUCAGCCAGACUGGAACUGAGACACGGUCCAGACUCCUACGGGAGGCAGCAGUGAGGAAUAUUUCACAAUGAGCGAAAGCUUGAUGGAGCAAUGCCGCGUGCAGGAUGAAGGCCCUCGGGUUGUAAACUGCUUUUAUAAGAGAAGAUUAUGACGGUAACUUAUGAAUAAGGGACGGCUAACUACGUG
rnacentral:rRNA from 1 species